rnacentral:rRNA from 1 species
GUACACUCCUACGGGAGGCAGCAGUGGGGAAUAUUGGACAAUGGGCGCAAGCCUGAUCCAGCCAUGCCGCGUGAGUGAUGAAGGCCCUAGGGUUGUAAAGCUCUUUCACCGGUGAAGAUAAUGACGGUAACCGGAGAAGAAGCCCCGGCUAACUUCGUGCCAGCAGCCGCGGUAAUACGAAGGGGGCUAGCGUUGUUCGGAUUUACUGGGCGUAAAGCGCACGUAGGCGGACUAUUAAGUCAGGGGUGAAAUCCCGGGGCUCAACCCCGGAACUGCCUUUGAUACUGGUAGUCUUGAGUGCGAGAGAGGUGAGUGGAAUUCCGAGUGUAGAGGUGAAAUUCGUAGAUAUUCGGAGGAACACCAGUGGCGAAGGCGGCUCACUGGCUCGAUACUGACGCUGAGGUGCGAAAGCGUGGGGAGCAAACAGGAUUAGAUACCCGAGUAGUCCC